CCUACUGGUGGCAGCAGUGAGGAAUAUUCGUCAAUGGGCGAGAGCCUGAACCAGCAAAGUCGCGUGAAGGAUGAAGGAUCUAUGGUUUGUAAACUUCUUUUAUAUGGGAAUAAAGUGAGGAACGUGUUUCUUUUUGUAUGUACCAUAUGAAUACGCAUCGGCUAACUCCGUGCCAGCAGCCGCGGUAAUACGGAGGAUGCGAGCGUUAUCCGGAUUUAUUGGGUUUAAAGGGUGCGUAGGUGGUUAAUUAAGUCAGCGGUGAAAGUUUGUGGCUCAACCAUAAAAGUGCCGUGGAAACUGGUUGACUUGAGUAUAUGUGAGGAAGGCGGAAUGCGUGGUGUAGCGGUGAAAUGCAUAGAUAUCACGCAGAACACCGAUUGCGAAGGCAGCUUACUAAACUAUAACUGACACUGAAGCACGAAAGCGUGGGGAGCAAACAGGAUUAGAUACCCGUGUAGUC
rnacentral:rRNA from 1 species